AUCGACCUACGGGGGGCAGCAGUGGGGAAUAUUGCACAAUGGGGGAAACCCUGAUGCAGCAACGCCGCGUGAGUGAGGAAGUAUUUCGGUAUGUAAAGCUCUAUCAGCAGGGAAUAGAAAAGAAGGUACCUGAAAAAGAAGCCCCGGCUAACUACGUGCCAGCAGCCGCGGUAAUACGUAGGGGGCAAGCGUUAUCCGGAUUUACUGGGUGUAAAGGGAGCGUAGGCGGUGAUGCAAGUCAGAAGUGAAAGCCCGCAGCUCAACUGCGGGACUGCUUUUGAAACUGUAUGACUAGAUUGCAGGAG
rnacentral:rRNA from 1 species